AAUACUGCUUUGAGAACCCAAGAACUUAGAUACAGUAUGAUCAUGUUUUAUGUUUUUUGGAAGUAUGGUAGUUCUGUUUUGGACUAUACUUCCUUUUUGUUUCGUUCUGCAUUUAUUGUUCCUGUUCAUAUGUUCCAAGUCCCCACUAGGAAUUGCUGCUACUCCCAGGUCACUUUUUAGCAUGGGAAGGUGUAGUUCCAUUUUUAAACUAUGCUCUUAGAGCUCAAGGUGGGUAUUAAGUCAUGGUAGAGAUUCAGCAAUUCCUAAACGGGGUUCAAUGUUACAUUUGAAAGACAUGAAUUGCAACUAACACGUCUUCCAAAACUUUUCAGUAACCUGGCACAUGCUGUGUCCAAUGGACCAUGGAAGUCAUUUUACUUGGCUGACGAGGGAGCAUCUCCCCAGCAUCAGAGCAACAGCUGUGGGGUGUUUAUGCUGAUGUAUGCAAUGUAUUCUACCCUCCAAAAGCCAUAUGAUUUCAUUGAGGUGGACAUGCUCUCUAUCAGGAGGUGGUGGUGUGGGCAACUGCUGGAGACCUUUACGCUUGAAAGGUGUUACAUACUGCGUCCAUAUUUUGCUAUUUAAUUAUAUUUGGUGCUCAUGAAGAUGGAAGCCUAUACUGAUCUCAUUUCUUUCUCUAGCCCUGCAAGACUAG